GAUUAAGUUAGUAAGGGCAUUUGGUGGAUGCCUUGGCAUAUGAAGGCGAUGAAGGGCGUGGUAAGCUGCGAUAAGCCUCGGGUAGGUGCAAACAACCUUUAAUCCGGGGAUUUCCGAAUGGGAGAACCCUUUCCGGGUAAUGCCGGAAAACUGCCACCUGAAUAUAUAGGGUGGUAAGAGUCAACGCAGGGAAGUGAAACAUCUCAGUACCUGCAGGAAAAGAAAACAAAAGUGAUUCCCAUAGUAGCGGCGAGCGAACUGGGAACAGCCUAAACCAAUAUAGUGUCAUGACUGUCAUUUUAGCUAUAUUGGGGUUGUGUGGAAUGACCAGAGGGUGUGACAGAACCUUCGGCGAGUCAGAAAACUUUUGCUUAGGAGAAUUGAAUCAGGAAAGGUUCAGCCAUAGAGGGUGAUAGCCCCGUAUCCGAAAAGCAUUAGUCUCGUUGGGUCAUUUUCUCAAGUAGGGCGGAACACGAGAAAUUCCGUUUGAAUCUGCCAGGACCACCUGGUAAGGCUAAAUACUCUCAUAUGACCGAUAGUGUAACAGUACCGUGAGGGAAAGGUGAAAAGUACCCCGAGAGGGGAGUGAAAUAGAACCUGAAACCGAAUGUCUACAAGCUGUCGAAGUCCGCAAGGACGACGGCGUGCCUUUUGCAUAAUGAGCCAGCAAGUUACUCGUAUCUAGCGAGGUUAAAUCUAUAGGGAUGGAGCCGUAGGGAAACCAAGUCUGAAUAGGGCGCUUAGUUAGAUGCGGUAGACGCGAAACCGAGUGAUCUUACCAUGGCCAGGUUGAAGCAACAGUAAAAUGUUGUGGAGGACCGAACCGACCUGGGUUGAAAACCGGGCGGAUGAGCUGUGGUAAGGGGUGAAAGGCCAAUCAAACUCGGUGA
rnacentral:rRNA from 1 species